UCGGGAAUCUUGCACAAUGGGCGAAAGCCUGAUGCAGCAACACCGUGUGAGCGAUGAAGGUCUUCGGAUCGUAAAGCUCUGUUGUUAGGGACGAAGGGCGAAGGGUUAAUAGCCCUUAGCCUGACGGUACCUUUCGAGGAAGCCCCGGCUAACUACGUGCCAGCAGCCGCGGUAAUACGGAGGGGACUAGCGUUGUUCGGAAUUACUGGGCGUAAAGCGCGCGUAGGCGGAUAUUUAAGUCAGGGGUGAAAUCCCGGGGCUCAACCCCGGAACUGCCCUUGAUACUGGAUGUCUGGAGUUCGAGAGAGGUGAGUGGAAUUCCGAGUGUAGAGGUGAAAUUCGUAGAUAUUCGGAGGAACACCAGUGGCGAAGGCGGCUCACUGGCUCGAUACUGACGCUGAGGUGCGAAAGCGUGGGGAGCAAACAGGAUUAGAUACCCCGGUAGUCC
rnacentral:rRNA from 1 species